UGAUAUUGCCCCAGUAACGGCGAGUGAAGCGGCAAGAGCUCAAAUUUGAAAGCUGGCUCCUUCGGGGUCCGCAUUGUAAUUUGUAGAGGAUGCUUCGGGAGCGGUCCCCAUCUAAGUGCCCUGGAACGGGACGUCAUAGAGGGUGAGAAUCCCGUAUGGGAUGGGGUGUCCGCGCCCGUGUGAAGCUCCUUCGACGAGUCGAGUUGUUUGGGAAUGCAGCUCUAAAUGGGUGGUAAAUUUCAUCUAAAGCUAAAUAUUGGCCGGAGACCGAUAGCGCACAAGUAGAGUGAUCGAAAGAUGAAAAGCACUUUGAAAAGAGAGUUAAAAAGCACGUGAAAUUGUUGAAAGGGAAGCGCUUGCGACCAGACUCGCUCGCGGGGUUCAGCCGGCAUUCGUGCCGGUGUACUUCCCCGCGGGCGGGCCAGCGUCGGUUUGGGCGGUCGGUCAAAGGCCCUCGGAAGGUAACGCCCCUAGGGGCGUCUUAUAGCCGAGGGUGCAAUGCGACCUGCCUAGACCGAGGAACGCGCUUCGGCUCGGACGCUGGCAUAAUGGUCGUAAACGACCCGUCUUG
rnacentral:rRNA from 1 species